rnacentral:rRNA from 1 species
AGUGAACGCUGGCGGUGGGCCUAAUACAUGCAAGUCGAGCGAAAAGACAAUAAGAUUGCGCCCUUGCGGUUAGCGACGGGCGGGCGGGUAAGAAAUACAUAGGCUUCUACUUUUACUUGGGUGAUUUCGUAGAAAAGCUGACACUAAUAGCUCAUACAACCUACGGCUGAAAGCAAUAGUGCUUCACACCUUUCCCGACACAUUGAGCCGAAGUCGCAUUAGCUAGUUGGCAGGGUAAGGGCUCACCAAGGCGACGAUGCGUAGCGGGUCUGAGAGGAUGAUCGGCCACACUGGAACUGAGACACGGUCCAGACUCCUACGGGAGGCAGCAGUGGGGAAUAUUGCGCAAUGGGCGCAAGCCUGACCGAGCCACACCGCGUGGGUGAUGAAGGUCUUCGGGCUGUAAAGCCCUUUUGUUAGGAAAGAACAACAGCAUAAUUAUCCAUCGACGUUUUGACGGUACCCAUACAGAAAGCCACGGCUAACUUCGUG